CGUGAAACACCAGGGAGUUUUCUCUGCACUUUAUCUCCAGACCCCCUGGACUGACCCCCUCUCCUUGACCGCUGGAGAAGUCAGGACUGGCUGAUAAAAGCUUCCAUUCAUUCAUGAACAUGAUGAGCAAAUUGAGGCACAGAGAGCUGAAAGCUACCCAGGGCCCUGCGGUUGGCGUCAGAACACACAGGUACAACGAGAGAGGCCCGGCGUGUGUCCUUAGGGAACUUUCCGAAGAGUUGAGGUGACACGAAGGAGUCCAGGGGACGAAGGCAGAGGGGUGAACAUGGCCUGGGUUGGCAGCGGCGGGGGGGGGCUCUGGAGGAGGUGACAUCUGAGUUGAGACCUGAAGGAUCAGUCAGAAGCCUGGAAGGCCAGAGGACAAGGGCUUCCGAGCGUCAGGAACAGCAAAUGCAAAGGUCUGGAGGGC